rnacentral:lncRNA from 1 species
UUGUUGAGCGCUGCCAAGUUUGCCCAGCCAUAUAUACGUAUUGUCUGUAUAUGAAUUGUUUUUUAAUGUUAGUGUUGAUAAUGUCUACUUUGAUGGAGGGCGAAUUUAUUCGACAAUUCCUGUUCACGUUGGCUUAUCAAUCAACCUGGAGAUCUAUAAUUAUAAAUGGCUAACAUUCGAGCCACAUUCUGUUGACAAUGAGAUAGUCUUUGCUAGGAGUACAAUAAACUGGAAACAAAUCCGGACAAAACUCACAGAAAUCAUCAAUUAUGUCCCGUGUAGAAAAUGAAUAUCGAGAAAGUAAUACCUUACUCCCUCUUUCCGGAGAUGAUGUUAGCAAAACCCUUCUAUUUCCUUCAAAUAGUUAUCUAAUCGUUUUCAAAUUGAUGUUUCAGUCAAGUUCUUCCUCUCAUUUUUGUUAACAUUUUGAGAUCCUUGAUACUAGUCGCUUGUUCUUUAAUUUACAUUUCUUAUGGAAAUAAUCAGCAGAAUUUUCAUCUCCUAUUGCAAUGAUGAUCGACAUACUCUUAAAAUACCUUGCUUUGGUAUUUUUAAGUUUUAUACUGACAUGGAAUAUUAUGGGGGACUUCCAAACAAAUUUCAUAAUAUAUAUGGUAUAGUCAAAGCAUCAAUAUUGGAGAGUUCAUCUUCAGUUGUGGAUAGUUAUUAAAUUUCAUUCAAAACAAUCAUUUGAUAAUUUGUAAAAUGACUUCAUUUAAAUGAUCGUCAAACUCAAUUAAGUUCUGGAAAUUUAGUGGCUGGAUGAAGUGAAACUUUUUGUUUCUGUUAAUUGCAAAAGAAGUGCUACUCUAGGAAUGGACGGGAUUCAAUAUAUUGAUGAAUGUGUUACCCUUGCCAUACAAAUCAUUUUUCAAGUUUAGUUUUAUAAGAAUGUAUUCAUUUAUUUGAGUGAGCUAAGUGAUGAAUAAUUUGCAAAUUUAUCUUUUAAAUGUUAAUAUGUCAAAGGAAUCCAUUGGUCCACAUAUUAUUUUUUACUUACCCCAUGAUAAUUAAGAUUACAACUACAAUUUCCAUAAUUGCCUAUCAAUAAUUAGUAGUUUAUUUACAAUUUUACUAAAAUAAUAUGUAUCAUCAGUGGAGAUGAUCUGUUCAGAAUAAUCCUCAGUUAUAUGUUCUAAAAGUCGGUCAACGACGAUAUAUACCUGAUUUUAAAGUAGUUUAUUAUGUUGCUUAUAUUAUUUGAAGGAAUUAUGUAAUUGUUCACAUCAACUCUUGAAAUACGAAGUCUACUCCUAGAUGAUGCUUCGGCAUUUCAUCAUCAGUAUCUACAAGUCGCUAAUUAUUAAAAAAACACCUUCAAGAUUAUUAAAUAACACACCACGUUACUUAAAUAAGGAAUUUGUAUUUACAUUACCUAGCCUAUAUCACAAAUGAGUAAAGUCAAAUCUUACUAUUUUUCAGAUGAAAAGUCGACUAUAUUUGGAUUUUUCUUAUGUACGAACUCAUGGUAGUUCCAAAUGGGAGAACAGAUCAAUCUGAAAUUUACCAAGUAGACGCAUUAAAUAACCAAUCAUAUUUAUAUUCCCUUGUAUUCAACACUGCAUCGCGGGCACCCUUGACCACAAGUUCUAAUACAACCAAAUAUUUGCCAUUAAAAUAUAUUAUAUUACAUUUAUUCAGUAAUUAUUUUUCUUGCAAUUCCAACAUUAUUACAUAUCUCCCUCAUAAGUUUGCCUGUAAAGUGCAACCCUCUAACCCCCUACAAAUUUCACAUCCUUUGAUUUUUCUUUCAAUAUCGCUAUCCAUGUUUGGCCAGUAGAAGUAUUUUCUAGCCAUCAUUCUUUAUUUUAAAAUCCAUGAUAAACAACUACCCGAAGUGAGCGACAUCCACUUGUUAUAAAUACAUUCCGGUAAAUAACCAGAUUCAUAGAAUUUCUGCAAAGGUAUGUGAAUUGAAACUACCGCCUCAUUCUACAUUAUUUAAAUGACUAAAAUUAUCUUAUGGCCUAAUAUCUUUGGUUAGAGAUUCACAAAAACUGCAUACAAUUUCACCAUUCUUUAUAUUUUUAUACGAUUUAAGAAUAUUCCUUACUUAAUUAAUAAACUCUGUUAAAAUCGCUA